rnacentral:rRNA from 1 species
UCCUACGGGAGGCAGCAGUGGGGAAUAUUGGACAAUGGGGGCAACCCUGAUCCAGCCAUGCCGCGUGUGUGAAGAAGGCCUUUUGGUUGUAAAGCACUUUAAGCGAGGAGGAGGCUAACCUGGUUAAUACCCAGGCUUAGUGGACGUACUCGCA